rnacentral:rRNA from 1 species
AUGGCUUCUUGCCUCACUCAUAUCAUUAAUACCAACAAAGUGGACUUCAUUGGCUUGCAAGAGACCAUGAAACAGAAUUAUAAGCCCUCCUUUUUUAGGAGGUUUGACCCUCACCCUGAAUUUAGAUGGGAAUGGAUCCCAUCGAUUGGGAAGUCUGGUGGGAUUUUAUGUGGCUUGAGGCUAGAAACACUUGAGGUUAUAGAUGUUGUGCGUGGUAAAUAUAUACUGCAGAUCAACCUUUUUGAUAAGGUUAAGAAAUGCAAAUGGGCUUUAUUGGUGGUUUAUGGUGCAGCUCAUGAUGAAAAUAAACCUGAGUUUUUGGCUGAGUUGUCCUCCUUCUGUCAUAGGAUUAACACUCCAUAUUUGGUGUGUGGUGAUUUUAACAUCAUAAGACACUGUGGGGAAAAGAAUAAAAAGAUCCCUUUAUCCCAUUUUUCAGAUGUUUUUAAUGCUGUCAUUCAUCUGCUGGGCCUGAGGGAGAUUUUCAUGGCCGGUGGCUGCUUCACAUGGUCUAAUAAACAAGAGCAUCCCACUUUGGAAAAACUUGAUAGGGUCUUAAUGUCCCCUGACUGGGAAGACUUAUACCCCUUAGUGUCGGUUGUAAAAGUGGUCAAGGAAUUAUCUGAUCAUAACCCUUUGUUACUGGAUGGGGGUGGCUUCAUCCAGGGCCCCGGGUAA